AUUGCGAGGACCUUGGCGAUAUAGGGGAUCAACGGCAGGUUCAGGAUCAACAAAACGAAAUUACCGAUGAACAUGGACAUGAUGACAGCCCAGAAAAUCUGCGGCUCGUCGAUCAUAAGGCGUGGCCC
rnacentral:ncRNA from 1 species